UUGCCAAACUCUAGCUCUAGUUUUGCUUUCUUGUUUCUUCCUGAACUCUGAGUGUGUCCUCCUCCUCCAGAUUGUCUACAGACCUGCUUGAGUUCAAGCUGAUUUCCAGACUCUUCUUAAAGAGCGUUCUCUGACUUCUGGAUAAGGAAUCAAGUCUCCAGAUAUUUCUUCUGGAUCAAGUUCAGCUGGCAGCUUCCUGGCUCUUCGAUAAUCCGAUCAAAUCAUAAGCGAACCCUGUCCACCUUCCAACCAACUCUCACGCAAGUACCUCUAACCUGUGCUCCACACCAUUGAUCCACUCUCCUCACACAGUCCUGGAUCAGAGCUCUUAAGGAUCUACCUUCACAGAACUGCUCCAGUGUUGUGCUCUCAGACCCCGCAUCUCUCACCCCUCUGGCGGUCCAUCUUCCUCCCCCCCAUUGGAGAUUAACCGGUCCAGGAUCUCAAACCCGUUUCACUCCUGUGAAAAUAAAUCUUUUAAACUUCCUAUUUAUCUCCUGAGUGUUAUUCUGCAUGUGGAUCAGAUCAUUAACAAAAACUAUGGCAAUAUCUGGAUUGCCCACAAAAUUAAAAUGAGCCUCUAGGUUCAGGUCUACCAGACUGCCUUACAAACUAGUUCAUAAGUCUAUUGCAUAACCUGCAACCCACACCGCAUUAUAACAUUUAAAGCGAUGUUAUGCACAAACCUGGGGAACCUGUUUGCAAAGUAGACGCUGUGAAGUUAAUGGAGAGCUUAGAAGAACCAAAAUGUCUUGGGUCCAUCUGACAGUUCCUCAGCCUCAGUGAGAAGUUCCCCUGAUUCUGUUCUGGUUGGACCUCACCCAUGUGAACAACCUGCUUACUUGCCCCUCUGCUGUACUCCAUUCCCGUCUCCUUCUUUGCACAUGUCGGCUGAGUCUGGUUGAGCAACUUAAUCGCUGCCUUGUGUUUAUUGGGGACCUGAAAGUACCACUCCAUCACAUAGUCGUUGGGAAAACUGUCCGGGUAGUUUGGUGACAGCAGAGUCAUGGACGAUUUGUUUAGAAAUACACAUCAAACUGGCCAUUUCUUAUGUGGUUGCCUGCUGGGAGGUCCAAAGAGAAGCUGCCUUGAUCCAGGAUCUGAACACUACUGAUGGUCCCAGAUAAGCAAUAUUUCCCUAGAAGAAAAUCUUUUCUUGCUCGGAGAGUAUAUAAAGUGGCUUUCCAGAUGUGCAGCCCUGGUGUGACCGCAUUUGGUGCUGGAUGUGCUGUGCCCAUGUAUCUAUGCUACAGCUGUUUGAAAAGGACUUUACACUCUCUUAACAGAGAAUUUUAUGUUCAUCGGAAAAUGACUGUAUGUAAAUAUGUAUGAAAGUUUGCAAACUUCAGCAGAAGAGCGCCCAAACUAAAUAUCAGAGGUAGUGACUCUACUUGCUGAUUUCCCAUCUCCUUACUACAAACUAAACUAAAAUAUCCUGCAGGUGGCAACAGGCAUGUUUCCUUUCCAGCCACCUCGGAUGGACUAAUUUAUUAUAGCAUCUUGCCAGAGUUUAAUAACUGAGGCGAGGCUCUUAGCCUACUUUCAUUUGGAUGGUAUUAUUAAGCAGCGUCUCAUGUGAUAACCAACCACAAGGGGAGUGUGACAACCUUUACCUAGUGAUUUUAUUUUUAUUUUUUUUGCCUUCACUUAAGUUGUUAAUAAGCACAUGCUGCAGCCAAGCAAGGAAAAUCACUAAAUGUCAAGUGUCAAACUAUUGAUAUGAUCAUGUAGUUAAACUUUAACCACAAGUUUGGAAAUUUCAACACCAAUACGUUUUAGCAGCAGCCUACAGGGAAAAAUGUUUUGUCAAAAUAUGAAAACCAACCCACUUCUCCCCUACAAUACCUUGCACAGUAUACUGCUUGACCUUUUCCACAAUUUGUCACUUCACCACCAAACAUUUCAAUGCAUUUUAAACUUUUGCAGACCAUUAUUGUUCAGUAAAGACUGCAGGUUGUGUACUAUAUAAAAAUGUUCUGCACAAACUGUGUGUGUGUUGUGACUGACAUGCCUCUCUUCUCAUUGACUGACAUCCAGUCCUCCAUUGCUCUUACGAGAGGACUAGUUUAUUUGGUCUGGCAAAUAUGAAAGAAUCUGUUUGUUGUUCUCCACUCGCUGAGUGAGCUUUGAGUCUCUAACAAAAAGGAAGUCGUGAACUUUGGCUGCUUGUUAUAUGAUAAUACUGUAUACUGCAUCAUCUGUACA